AAUAAAUAAAUAAUAAAAAAAAUUAACCAUUCUAGCUCUGCUGUGGACAGAGAAUUUAUUUCUCUUUACUGAAGUGCCCUGAACAGAAGACACUAUUUUAACCAAACAUUGAACUCGAAGAAGACAUUAAUAACAUAAGGGUGCAUAUCCAAACCAAAAAUAUGUAUAUAAACAGCUACUGUGAAAGGGUAUUUAUGUAGCUAGUCAAGAUGUAAUAUAUGAUUUCUGCAGGAACAGUAAGAGACAACUAAUUUCAGUAUCAUCUGUUUUGUAUGUAGUGUGUAUGCAAAGUCGGGUCUUGUGCACAAACACUUUGUGUAUGAUUGAAUAUUAGUGUUCUACCAUUAGCACAGUAAGUCAGCGUGCAGGGGAUCUGAGACACAAGUGGAUUUGAAGCAACACAGCAACUAACAACAGAAACCUCAGUGGUGCUGCAAAACCUCUCAAGAGCUGGUGAUUGGAUGAUAUAAAACAAAGCCUCAGUCAUAACUUGCCAUUUACACCUAUCCGUGCUGUAAUUGAGUGAAAAGAGCUCACUGAAGGUUUCUCCUUGUACCACUGCUGUGUUCUUCCCUCAGUGUAACAUCCCUCUGUGCUAAUGUGGGCAUGUUCUACAAGAGGAAAAGGAAAGACAGCGGAGAGGAAAACACUUCUUGUCUUGAGUAAAAGAUCUGUCAGGUACUCGUCCCUAUCCUGACUCCUUGACCAUAUGGAGAGGAUUGCAGCAGUCAGCUGGGAUGUGAGAACUAAUCUUCCUGCUGUUGUCAGCAGUCAAGCGCAUGCACUGGAUGUAGGGUACUAAGGAAGAGUAAUAAUGAAAGAGGUGGCAAUAUGUUUUGGAUCAUGUAGGGUAAGAUGUUACCUCCAAGAAAGAUAAAAUCAUGAAGCCACCCUUCACACUCAUCUCCUGAGACUUCAGAACUUCUUUCCGGCAUUGCACUCUGAAAAGUAUAUGAGGAAGAAAAUACAAGGAAUUAGGAAUCAGAGCUACAGAAGAGAACUGCAGCACCGAGAAAGGAAUAUAAAACACCGGAAGUUUCACAGUGUAUUUUCUUUUCUCAUUUAUCAAAUAGUAUUCUGGCCAGGGCCUAUUUGAAAUGUACUGUAUUAAAAUGAUCAGGAAAAAAAAAAAAAAGUACUGUUUUUUGCAUGGUUUACAAUAUUUUGUUAACAUCUUAUCAGCUUUAAACUGUAUGCCCAGUGAUGGGUAGCAUAAAAUGUAGUAUAUGUUUAAUACGGGGUUCUUGUGAUGCUCUCUGCAGUCUACCUGCUGGUGUUUUUGAAAUCCAUUUCCAGAAGGAACCACACUCCAAGAAAAUGUUUAAAUUUUGCAUUAUUACAGGUAUAAUCUGAUAGAAGUGGGUUAGCCUGUGAUUCAGUGUGGCUUGUGUGCAGCCGAACUGUGGGCCUUGCUGCAGCCUGCAUGACUGGUAUGGCAGCGCAAAGCCGCGCUGGUGUGCGAGGCUGUUAGGCAAUCGGUAUUCCUGGCUGAGGAAGACAGUGAAUCAGCAGGCAUGGCUGAAGGUGACAGUGACAAAUGGCCCCGAGUCUCUGCUGUGUAGCCAGCACAGUCAAGUCUUGUUCUUCAGCCCAGUGAUGAAACUGGUGAGGUUCCCUCCAGAGGAUCACAUCAACAGCAAUUUAUCCUCAAUUCUUCAAAGACCAUGGCGUGAGUCUUCUGACUUUGAGACACAUGCAGAUAUGAGUCUCUGGCCCAGAGGCAAGAAACUGGAUUUCUCUUGCUUAGAAGAAUGUGCAUUUAUUG
ensembl:lncRNA